rfam:Oryza brachyantha chromosome 10, whole genome shotgun sequence.
UGGCCAGUGAUGAACCAUGACUUGUACCCUCCGAGUAAAAUGAGGUGCACUGACUCUCUUUCUGAGGCCA